AGGGAAUAGAUACCCGGGUAGUCCACGCCCUAAACGAUCACAACUGGCUAUAAGGAGUAUCGACCCUCUUUGUGGCGAAAGCUAAACGCGUUAAGUUGUGCGCCUGGGUAGUACGAUCGCAAGAUUAAAAACUCAAAGGAAUAGACGGGGACUUGCACAAGCGGUGGAUCAUGCGGCUCAAUUCGUCGGUAAACGAAAAACCUCACCAGGGUUUGAAACCCAACUGAAAGCCUUAGGAAACUUUGGCCCCGCAAGGCAGUUGGGCAGGUGAUGCAUGGUCGUCGUCAGUUCGUGGCUUGAGUUGUUCCCUUCAGUGGGGUAACGAACGCAACCCGCGUUGCCUGUUUUAUUUGUCAGGCGAGACUGCCCCCUCACGGGGGGAGGAAGGUGCGGAUGACGCCAGAUCAGCAUGUCCCCUCUGAUAUCCUGGGCUGCACGCAUGAUACAAUGGUCAUGACAACGGGUCGCGACGGGGUAACCCUGAGCUAAUCCUUAUAAACAUGGCCCCAGUUCGGAUUGAGGUCUGCAACUCGACCUCAUGAAGCCGGAAUU
rnacentral:rRNA from 1 species